ACUCCUACGGGAGGCAGCAGUGGGGAAUAUUGCACAAUGGGCGCAAGCCUGAUGCAGCCAUGCCGCGUGUGUGAAGAAGGCCUUCGGGUUGUAAAGCACUUUCAGUCGUGAGGAAGGUGGUAGUGUUAAUAGCACUAUCAUUUGACGUUAGCGACAGAAGAAGCACCGGCUAACUCCGUGCCAGCAGCCGCGGUAAUACGGAGGGUGCGAGCGUUAAUCGGAAUUACUGGGCGUAAAGCGCAUGCAGGUGGUUUGUUAAGUCAGAUGUGAAAGCCCGGGACUCAACCUCGGAAUUGCAUUUGAAACUGGCAGACUAGAGUACUGUAGAGGGGUAGGAAUUCUAGGUGUAG
rnacentral:rRNA from 1 species